GUGCUUCCCUCGGCCGCACGUAUACUAACAUUGGAAUGUGAUACAGAGAAGAUUAGCAUGGUCUCUGUGCAAGGAUGACACACAAAUUCGUGAAGCGUUCCGUAUUUUU
ensembl:snRNA U6 U6 spliceosomal RNA